rnacentral:rRNA from 1 species
GACGAACGCUGGCGGCGUGCCUAAUACAUGCAAGUCGAGCGAAGUUUUUCUGGUGCUUGCACUAGAAAAACUUAGCGGGGAACGGGUGAGUAACACGUAAAGAACCUGCCUCAUAGACUGGGACAACUAUUGGAAACGAUAGCUAAUACCGGAUAACAGUAUUUCUCGCAUGUGAGAUAUUUAAAAGUUGGUUAUGCUAACACUAUGAGAUGGCUUUGCGGUGCAUUAGCUAGUUGGUGGGGUAAAGGCCCACCAAGGCGACGAUGCAUAGCCGACCUGAGAGGAUGAUCGGCCACACUGGGACUGAGACACGGCCCAGACUCCUACGGGAGGCAGCAGUAGGGAAUCUUCCGCAAUGGGCGAAAGCCUGACGGAGCAACGCCGCGUGAGUGAAGAAGGAUUUCGGUUCGUAAAGCUCUUUUGUUAGGGAAGAAUGGAUAUUUAGUAACUAUACAUUUAAGUGACGGUACCUAAACAGAAAGCCACGGCUAACUACGUG